rnacentral:rRNA from 1 species
UACGUAGGGUGCGAGCGUUGUCCGGAUUUAUUGGGCGUAAAGCGCGCGUAGGCGGCUUUGUAAGUUAGAGGUGAAAGCCCGAAGCUCAACUUCGGAAUUGCCUUUAAGACUGCAUCGCUAGAAUCAUGGAGAGGUUAGUGGAAUUCCGAGUGUAGAGGUGAAAUUCGUAGAUAUUCGGAAGAACACCAGUGGCGAAGGCGACUAACUGGACAUGUAUUGACGCUGAGGUGCGAAAGCGUGGGGAGCAAACAGG